AGCAUCCCCAAACUUCUUGAUGAAGAGCACCAAAAACAAUGGUGCUAUUGGGUGGAACUAUUGUGAUAAUGACAAAGAAGAACCUUCAUCCAGCAACUGAUGGAAAUAGAGGCAGAGAUCCACAGCAGAGCUUGGAGGCUGAGCAAGCUCCCAAAGUCCAGUUGAAGAAUGGAAGAAGUGAGAAUAUGAGCAAAGAGGUCAAGGCCAUGAUGGGCACACCACUGAAACAGUCUACCUGAGCUAAUGAGAGCUUACCAACUCCAGCUGGACUGGAAAAGACCCAGCAUAAGAAGGACCAAACUAGACCUUCUGAAUGUGGGUGACAGUUGUGUGGCUGGAUCAGACUGAGGGGCCACUGGC